GGACCCCUAGCUCAGCUGGUAGAGCAUCUGAUUCCAGAUCCAGAAGGUCGUCCGUUCAAAUCGGGCGGGGUUCA
rnacentral:tRNA from 1 species